CCUACGGGUGGCAGCAGUGGGGAAUAUUGCACAAUGGGCGCAAGCCUGAUGCAGCCAUGCCGCGUGUGUGAAGAAGGCCUUCGGGUUGUAAAGCACUUUCAGCGGGGAGGAAGGCGGUGAGGUUAAUAACCUCAUCGAUUGACGUUACCCGCAGAAGAAGCACCGGCUAACUCCGUGCCAGCAGCCGCGGUAAUACGGAGGGUGCAAGCGUUAAUCGGAAUUACUGGGCGUAAAGCGCACGCAGGCGGUCUGUCAAGUCGGAUGUGAAAUCCCCGGGCUCAACCUGGGAACUGCAUUCGAAACUGGCUGGCUAGAGUCUUGUAGAGGGGGGUAGAAUUCCAGGUGUAGCGGUGAAAUGCGUAGAGAUCUGGAGGAAUACCGGUGGCGAAGGCGGCCCCCUGGACAAAGACUGACGCUCAGGUGCGAAAGCGUGGGGAGCAAACAGGAUUAGAUACCCGUGUAGUC
rnacentral:rRNA from 1 species